UAAAAUGAUGAUAUUCCUGAUAGGGACAUCCGAUGCAAAAGCAAAUGAUGUCAACGGGAAAGAGUAUUUUAGUAGAUGCCUCUUGUUCUCUGAAA
rnacentral:snoRNA from 1 species